CCGACGCGCUGCCCCACCGCGACGGAGCCGGCCUCGCGGAGGAAGGCCAGUCGCCCUCGCAGCGGGGAGGACGAGGUGUGGUCGCCGCUGUCCGCUGCAGGGAGGAAGGGCGCACGACCGCCGGCGCCCGGUGCUGGGAUGAGGACAGGGACGUGGCUAACGGCGCCCACAGCGGGGAGGAAGGCCGCCGGAAGGCGGCACCCGCUGUGGGAGAGGAGCGGGGAGCGGCCGCCGGAACUAGCACGCCGGUGCGAGGAAGUCGGAGCGUGUGGCUGCCAGAGCUAGCACGCCGGCGCGAGGAGGUCGGAGCGCAUGGAGGAUAGGCGCAGCUGCAGGAGUUCGCACGCCGGAGCUUGCGGAGGAUGACCGUGGUGCUGGCACUCGCGGAGCGGAGCCCGCCACCGCCAGAGCUAGCGGGCUUACUGCCUGACAGGUCAUGGAAGUCGUUGGAGCUCUCGGCGAUGGUGAGCUCGACACCCUCGCCCGCAUCCUCCAGUAAGCGUGCUCCUCCCCCGAAAUCCUCAAAUCCCGUCGCAAUCCCCAAAUCUCGUAGCAACGAAUUCGCAAAUAACGUCACCACGCGGGGGAGGUUGGGAGGGGUCGGCGGCGCCCGUUAUGCUCGCUCGCCUUGGAGUUCCCGCUCGGUAGGGAUGCAGGCGGCAGCCCGCAAAAUCCACCUAUAGACUUAAUUAAGUGGGUUGUCGUAAUAACCUGCGAAAAUUUAACUUAUAUAAGAAUUCGCAGGCUAGCCCACUUGCAUCUCUACCGCUCGGCUACUAGUAUUGCACGAUCGCAUCGUACACGUACCCCAGCACGCCCACCACCGUCCCCGCCGUUACCGCGUCGCCGCCCUUCCAUGCCCCUAUGGCACCUCGAGCAGGUAGAGCGUGAACGCGUCCUGGCUGCAGCACAUCGAAGAGGUUAUAUACUCCUCCCGUUUUUAUUUACAUGUCGUAUUAGGUUUGUUAUAAAUUAAACUAAAUUUUGGCCAAGUCUAUAGAAAAAUAUAGCAACAACUAUACUAUCCAACAUAUGCAAUAUUAAAAUAUACUUCAUGGUGGAUUCAAUAAAACAAAUUUGGUAUUGUAAAAGUUAUUACUUAUUUCUAUAAAUUUUAUCUAAGUUUGCUAAGUUAGACUUAAGACAAACCUAAUAUGAUAUGUAAAUAAAAAUAGAGAGAGUAUCUUUAAGUUAAAAAAAAGGAAAUCUUUAAAACAUGAAACGUGGGUCAUUCUCUGGCACGAGACUGGGCCACGUCUAUAGUAAAAACAGAGCCGUUGGAUCGGGCACGAACGGCAGGAAGCAUCCCUGGCCGACUCCGCCCUCCAGCUCGGCAUGCGCCGCAGGCUGCUUGCUUGCUCCUGCGCUGCACGGGCGCCAUCCUCGUCCUCCAGCCACACCGCCGCCUCCAUCCUGUUCCUGGGCGCGGACGUUGCAGCCCCGGGCUCGUCGGCAGCGGAUGCGGCUGCACCGCAAGGAGCCUGCGCAGGGAGGAUUGGAGCCAGCGGACGGAGCAGCGGAAUAGCCAGCACGGGGAGAAGAGGCGGCGCAUGGGGACAGAGGCGGGGGUUGCUAGAAGACGAUGGGACCACCGGCAAAAUCCGCCAUGAGCGUCCAUCCAUGAACGGAUUGCUUUAGCCUCGACCUCCGCCUCCGCACCAGGGAACCUCCCCCACCCCUCAGGCGGAGCCCUCGUUGAUUGCAGCGGCUCGCCGUCGACGCAAAGAAGCCACCGUCGCCGUCAUGGCCGGCCCUCAUGCACUGAUUGAUUCAAGUUCUGGAGAUGAGAGUGCCAACAGUUGACUGUGUCAUUAAGCAUGGAGGGCAAGCAAAUCCGAUCUGUCAGUUGUGUCAAGCAAGGGAUGAAUCGACAAUACACCUUAUGGCCAAGUGCUCAUAUGGAGAAGUGUGGAACAUGGCGGUGGCAUGAAUCAACCAGUGAUCCCCCAACUUAAUGAUGUGCAUCAAAUCAAACAAUGGUGGCCUGAAACGACUGCUGCAAACAACAUGCAAUCACACUUGCAAGUCAUCAUAUACACAGCGCAGAAUCUACGGAAGGAGCUUUGUCGGCGGCUGCUCGAAAACAGGACACAGAGGCCCUCAUAGUUCCAGAGGUCAUCAUGCCAGACCUACAGAACUUCAGUUUAGUGCACUUGGAGCAGGAGUAAUCGGUUGCCGUUGUACAUACGCAUAAUCUUCUUUUCUUUCGCUUACCCAAAUUGUAAUUAUUUUGCUUCCUACUAUAAUGAAAAAGUAGAGCACCUGUUAUUUUCCUAAAAAAAACUCUGAUAAAGAGGUUGCCACUGCCUAUUAUUUGAUUCUGAUA